rnacentral:lncRNA from 1 species
CAAGAUUCGGCGUCACCCGUAAUCCACCGCCAUGGCCGAGGAAGGGUGAGCGGAUGGGCCCUAGUUGGGGCGUGGGCCUCCCGCGGAGGACGCGGGUCUGCACGUUAUCCAAAUUAGUUAUUGCCCAUGGCCUCUCGAGGAUUCUAACGAUUCUGUCUGCAUUUCAGCAUAGCUGCUGGAGGUGUAAUGGACGUCAACACUGCUCUACAAGAGGUGCUGAAGACCGCCCUCAUCCACGAUGGCCUAGCACGUGGCAUACGCGAAGCUGCCAAAGCCUUAGACAAGUACGUGUCUCAGUCUCAAUACUGUGGGGUGUUGCAGCCGGAACAAAAACUGCAGCCAAGGGACGAAAGCGUGAAGUUCAUGCUGUUAGCACAAAAGUUCUGAGUGUCAUCCGUCCAGCAGGAAACAUAGGAAAAGGUAUCAACUCUAGCCCACUUAGGAUGUGUGGGUUGCUGUGUGGAUCGGGGCUGAGCGGUAGUUGCUUUUGUUAAGCUACAGUGUUUGAGUGAUGACUUGUAUUGUCGGAUACCCCUUCACCCCGUUCAUGGGUGAGAUUCAGCUAGUCUGACAAACCUGUAGCACUUGGGUACUUUUGCAAAAAGAAAAAGGGAACGUCGUUGACAUCUGUAGUUUACAGAUACAACUUAGCAAUGUUUCAGUGUCUUAUUUGGGAAUAUGCCUUGUUUUUAUUAUGUCUAUGCACGAGGAUGUCAGGUGAUUUUAACAUUUGAAUUUCCUGUAAGCUGACUUGAAUCCAGGUGGGCAUCGCAGCUCCUGUUGUGAUUAUUUACAAUGUUUGAAUAAUGCAGCAUUGAAUCAACUUUCAAGGUUUGGCCAUAAGCAGGCUUCCUCAAGAAAUAAUGGCCUAUGUUAUCCAAGGGCCAAGGUUUGGACAGGAAAAUUGUAUGCAUGCGCUCCAGCAGUUUGCACACUAGUGUGUGCUGCAUAGUAAGCCUUACUAGCAUGGUGAGAUGCCUUGACUGGAAAUACUUGAGGCCGUGGUUUCACUUUCUGAUUUUGCAUUGUAGGCGCCAAGCCCAUCUCUGCGUGCUUGCAUCCAACUGUGAUGAGCCCAUGUAUGUCAAGCUGGUGGAGGCGCUCUGUGCCGAGCACCAGAUCAACCUGAUAAAGGUAAGCAGACGCUCUUCCUGUCCUAGUGAUUAACAGGCACCAGAACUAGGAGCUGUCUGGUGACCUUGUGACAAUCCGGGGCUGCACAUGAUGACAACUGGCUCCCUCUACUGAGUCGCAGUGAGGAAACUGCCAUGUCACCCUUCUGACGCUGCCACCUUGGGAAUUUUGAGUUUCAGUGUGUACUACCUUUAUUCUCUGCUAGUAAUUGCUUUUGUCUUUGGUAGGUUGAUGACAACAAGAAACUAGGGGAAUGGGUAGGCCUCUGUAAAAUCGAUCGAGAGGGGAAGCCACGGAAAGUGGUUGGUUGCAGUUGCGUUGUAGUUAAGGACUAUGGCAAAGAAUCUCAGGCCAAGGAUGUCAUCGAGGAGUACUUCAAAUGCAAGAAAUGAAUAAAUAAAAUUUUGGCUC